rnacentral:rRNA from 1 species
ACGCUCGACACCUACGGGAGGUAGCAGUGGGGAAUAUUGCACAAUGGGGGAAACCCUGAUGCAGCGACGCCGCGUGAGCGAAGAAGUAUUUCGGUAUGUAAAGCUCUAUCAGCAGGGAAGAAGAAAGACGGUACCUGACUAAGAAGCCCCGGCUAACUACGUGCCAAGCAGCCGACGGUAAUCUGAGGCGGGCUGGCAAGGC